CUUCUUCCCUCCCUUAGCUGAAGGACUCGGAUAUGAUCUUUGGAGGUUCCAAAGAGUGAUGUCAUUCAAAGUUGUAACCAUAUCUGACGCUCUCCUUCCCAAACAACUGAGUUUUAGACAGAGUCCCACACAGCAGAUGCCGCUGCUAAAUGGAAGUGAUGGGAGCUGCAGCUCAGGUUACAGCCCUGUAUGACAUCACAAUUCAGAUCUCUAUUUAAAAAAAAAAAUUGAGGCCAUCUUUGCACAUCACAAAGGAGCAGUGUGAUGGGGUGUUCAGCCUACACAAGCCCCGAAGGGGUUGUAGUGGCUGGGUAGGCCAAUUAACUGCAUUGGCUGUAUCUGGAGGAAGAGCCAGGGAGCAAUGAGGAUUAAUUAAAAAGGAAGCUCAGCUGCACAAGAACAGGAGGGGCCCAGUAGCUGAGAGGAUAAUGGGGCUGCAGAGAGAGAGAGAGAGAGAGAGAGAGACGCUGCAGUCACAGUUACGGUGACAGAUGGCAAGGUAGGAAAUAGCCCAGGGAUACACUGGGAAAUCCACAGUGACCUGACUGGAGGACCAAUCCAUGAAGUGGAAGCAGUUGAGUCCUGAGAGAGCAAGACAGGGAGUGAUGGAGUGCAACCGCAAGAAGAGGCAUCAGCCUGGCAGAGUUAAUCUCCAGAUGUGGUCGGAAGCAGAUGUGCCAGCGUGAGUUCUUGAGAAUGUCAUGAGCGCUCCAAAGAGCAGAAUAUCAGUCAGCUAAUUCAAGCUGCAUAGGUCUAGCAUGAUAAGAGGACAGAUGCUUGACACAGCUACUUGUUUGCAAGGGUGGAUGUUGAGUCUUAAGGCGUCUGUCUGUACAAGUUGUGAUAAGGAACAGACCCUCUGGUUUGGAGUAAAUAAUUUAAAGUAGCUCUUACAUUGAACUGAGGUUGCUUGACUGUGUUUCAGCUAACUUUGUAUAUAAAGUUCAGGAGACUGAACUGAGUGAUGCAAGAAAGCCAGAGGGCACUAGAAGAAAAGCAAAAUGACACCUGGAGACCAAAAAGGCAAUACAUAGAAGACCAAUUCUUGGCUCACGGAUUGGCUCAUGUCCAGCCUCAAACACAAUGUACUAUUACAUCAGCCGCCAAAGAGGAAAGGCCAAAGAUGAAACAGAAAGGAAAAAAGGCAAUUUGGAAUUCCAGAUUUUAAAAAAAAAAAAACA